rnacentral:rRNA from 1 species
AUUGAACGCUGGCGGCAUGCCUUACACAUGCAAGUCGAACGGUAACAGGUCUUCGGAUGCUGACGAGUGGCGAACGGGUGAGUAAUACAUCGGAACGUGCCCGAGAGUGGGGGAUAACGAAGCGAAAGCUUUGCUAAUACCGCAUACGAUCUCAGGAUGAAAGCAGGGGACCGCACGGCCUUGCGCUCACGUAGCGGCCGAUGGCAGAUUAGGUAAUUGGUGGGAUAAAAACUAACCAAGCCGACGAUCUGUAGCUGGUCUGAGAGGACGACCAGCCACACUGGGACUGAGACACGGCCCAGACUCCUACGGGAGGCAGCAGUGGGGAAUUUUGGACAAUGGGCGCAAGCCUGAUCCAGCCAUGCCGCGUGCAGGAUGAAGGCCUUCGGGUUGUAAACUGCUUUUGUACGGAACGAAAAGACUCCUUCUAAUAAAGGGGGUCCAUGACGGUACCGUAAGAAUAAGCACCGGCUAACUACGUGCCAGCCGCCGCAGUAAUAC